AGCGAACGCUGGCGGCAGGCCUAACACAUGCAAGUCGAACGGACCCUCCGGGGUUAGUGGCGGACGGGUGAGUAACACGUGGGAACGUGCCUUUUGGUUCGGAAUAGCUCCUGGAAACGGGUGGUAAUGCCGAAUGUGCCCUUUGGGGGAAAGAUUUAUCGCCAUUAGAGCGGCCCGCGUCUGAUUAGCUAGUUGGUGAGGUAAAGGCUCACCAAGGCGACGAUCAGUAGCUGGUCUGAGAGGAUGACCAGCCACAUUGGGACUGAGACACGGCCCAAACUCCUACGGGAGGCAGCAGUGGGGAAUCUUGCGCAAUGGGCGAAAGCCUGACGCAGCCAUGCCGCGUGAAUGAUGAAGGUCUUAGGAUUGUAAAAUUCUUUCACCGGGAACGAUAAUGACGGUACCCGGAGAAGAAGCCCCGGCUAACUUCGUGCCAGCCGCCGCCGUAAAAC
rnacentral:rRNA from 1 species